CACGUAGGGGCCAAGCGUUGUCCGGAUUUAUUGGGCGUAAAGAGCUCGUAGGCGGUUCAGUCAGUCGGGUGUGAAAUCUCCGGGCUCAACUCGGAGGGGCCACCCGAUACUGCUGUGACUCGAGUCCGGUAGGGGAGUGGGGAAUUCCUGGUGUAGCGGUGAAAUGCGCAGAUAUCAGGAGGAACACCGGUGGCGAAGGCGCCACUCUGGGCCGGUACUGACGCUGAGGAGCGAAAGCGUGGGGAGCGAACAGG
rnacentral:rRNA from 1 species